UCAGCUCCGGCGGCUGCCAGGGUCGUUUUCUGUUUAAAAGCUUCAUUUUAAUGUUCCUAAAGAAUAAAGAAGAAGGAGAGUGAAGAGUAAGGAAAAAAGAGACAGACACUGUGGGGAGAAGCUGGACAAGAAUCCCAUAGUCAUCCUAGGACCCUUCAAGGCUUUAGACUGGUCCUAGAGACUUUGUGGCUGACAAGCUACCUUUAUCUGAAAGACCUGCACCCCACAGUGGGCACUGCAACUCCUGAUUACUACUUACUUUAAGGGAAUCCACAAGGAGCCAAAGACACUUACCAGGGUGGUUCACAUGGGACUCUAUCCAUGGAUACAUCACACCUGCUGACAUAGACAUAUCCUGUGGAAUGUGUUGUUUACUUCUUACCUGGAGCAUUUUCAAGCUUUACACACAGUAGUAAACAAAUGCUUAUUCAUAUUUUCCAUGUCUUUCU